UAGGAAGUAGUAUACUGGGAGUACAAAGAGUUUUGAUCUCUUUAGUGCAGGUUCGAUUCCUGUCUUUCUAA
rnacentral:tRNA from 1 species